GUCCCGCGAAGAUCCCGCACGCAACUGUAGGGAGCCUCCUUAAUUGUAAACUUCCUGUUGAAUAGUUUGAAUGCACCAAUCACCUUUGUUGUUUGUGCAACUACCAAUCAUAAAUAGAAAGGAAGUGACCAGAAAUUAUCAAAUUCUUGGAAUUGGCUCUUUCACAGGAAGUGUAUUAAUAUCUCGAGGAACUUGAUGAAAUGAAUUGGUCAGCCUGAGGUAAUGUAUUGAAUCAAUAUUUGAGGAACACUUCAAUUGGAACGACAGUAAGUGUAAAUACGGCAUUACUUUUAAUGAAAAGACCGCCAGGGUUAGAGUGUUUUUAUGUUUGGUUUGUUAAGGAGCAAACUCGCUUUUUAAAAAAAAGAAAUAUGUAUUAAUUUCGAUCCAGAUUUGUUCCUGAACAUGGUCGCCAUGAAAACACUCUGUAGAGCAAGCCAAGAUCAGCGACGUACGGUCAUAAUAGCGUUGUCGGAAGUUUGCAUUCAGCAUUUCGUUCAAAAUUAAACGUGCAUUAUGUUAAUAAGUUGCUAGGGUUGCGUACAAUCGGUACCCACAUUUUAAAGGGAAUAACUAAUAUGUAUAAAUAGGGCGUGCGCACGAAGUUUUUUUCGCAGGCCUUUAACUUCGGGGAAAAU